rnacentral:misc_RNA from 1 species
UUGUAGCAAAUUAUUGGAACAUCGCUUAUAAGAAAGUGGCACGAACUUUCCGGAUAAUCGAGUACCUGGUGCAUGUAGAAUGGAGAAAGAUAGACAGAUAGCGCAGAGAGAGUUAGUUGGAAAAGUUACCGAAAAAUUAGAGGUGGAAUCCGAGUUAAAAAUACAGCGUUAGUUUGGGAGAGUGGAGAGUAAGAGUUUUGCGCGAUCGUAUCUUUUACUAUUUUAUUUAACGUCUCGCGAAUAAAUGCCUGUCCGCGCGCAGUUCAAUCUCUCUAUUCUGCAAAAAUGAAAAAGUUUUUAUGACUUCGCGAACUCUAAUUAAACUUACUGCUUCCAUCUGUGAAACUAUUCACGACUCAACCUCGUUCAAAUGCAAGCAGUCGUUCAACUUUUUCAACUCGUUAUUUGAAAAAUUCAGUUUACGCCUGCUCCAAUACAUUCACCUAAAGCAUUAAACUAG